ensembl:lncRNA
CUGUCCUCAACUAAGUUGAGAAAGCAUGUGUCCACACUGUCGACAGUCCUAAACCUGAGAGACAAUGAGAUGGACAUCCUCGCAAAUUUUCUAGGCCAUGAUAUCAGAGUCCAUAGGGAGUACUAUAGACUGCCUGAAGGAACACUUGAGUUGGCUAAAGUCAGCAAAGUGCUCAUUGCUCUAGAACAAGGCCGACUGUCAGACUUCAAGGGAAUGAGCCUCGAUCAAAUCCAAAUUAAUCCCAAUGAAGAAAUGCAGGAAGAUGUGGAAAGUGAUCUUUCAGAGACGGAUGCAUCAAAGGAGUCAUCUUUCAGCUCCUCAACAUCGAGAUCCUCAACACCUAAGAGAAGAAAGGAGACAGGAUCUGACAUUGAUGACCCUAAAGAGGGUACUUCUCACACCCACCGCACACCCUGUUUUGCCUCAGGAACUUCAACAAAGGAAAAGGAGUCUGACACUGAUGCCACUAAAAUGGGACCACCAAGAUUCAAGCAAGGACAGUGGACCACAGAUGAGCCUGAUGGUGACCACACUACCGCAGGAACAUCAAAGAAGAGGACUUGGACAUCAGCUGAGGUCCAAGCUGUGGAAAAGACACUAAUGUCCUUCAUUGAGUCUGGUAAAGUACCAG